UACGUAGGGUGCAAGCGUUGUCCGGAAUUAUUGGGCGUAAAGAGCUCGUAGGCGGUCUGUCGCGUCGGCUGUGAAAACUCGGGGCUCAACCCCGAGCCUGCAGUCGAUACGGGCAGACUAGAGUGCUGUAGGGGAGACUGGAAUUCCUGGUGUAGCGGUGAAAUGCGCAGAUAUCAGGAGGAACACCGGUGGCGAAGGCGGGUCUCUGGGCAGUAACUGACGCUGAGGAGCGAAAGCGUGGGGAGCAAACAGG
rnacentral:ncRNA from 3 species